rnacentral:rRNA from 1 species
GUUAAUGCUUGUGAAAAGUAAUUUUAAGUGUAUUAAAUAGAGUAAAUUUAGUUGAAAAGUAGAUUAAUUUGUACUGUGAAGGAAAGUUGAAAUAAAAUGAAAAAGAUUUUUUUAGGAAGAAAGAUAUUGUACCUUUUGUAUCAGGGUUUAUUAAUAAAAUAAAUUGAAUUAUUUUUUCCCGAAAGUAUUAGAUUUAUUAUUAAAUUUAAUUUAGUGUUUUAAAAUUAUUUAAAAUUUAAUAAUGGGGAUGAAAAGUUAUUCGAUAAUACUGAUAUCUGGUUUUUUAAGAGUUAAAUUUAAUUUAGAAUUAAAAUUGUAAAUGGGAUAAUUAGUUUUAAUUUAUAGUUUUAAUUUUAAAAUAUAAGGGAUAAGCUUUAUAUUUAGAGUUAUAUUUAAAUGGUUUAAGGAAAGUUAUAGGCUUAGAAAUGGAAACUAAAUGGAGUAUGUUAUAAUAGAUGAAUUCUUGAUUUAAAUUAGAAUUAAAUUUUUAUUGAAAAGUGUGAUGUAACUUGGGCUUACAAUUAAAAUGGUGAAAUUAGUAAAGUGAAAUUUGUGAUGGAAAUAAAAUACGGAAAUUUAAUUUAAGGAAUUCGGCAAUCGUUUUAUUCGCCUGUUUAACAAAAACAUGGCUUUUAGGAAAAGUUAAAAGUCGGACCUGCCCACUGAUGAAUUGAAGGGCUGCAGUAUUUUGACUGUACAAAGGUAGCAUAAUCAUUAGUUUCUUAAUUGGGAACUGGAAUGAAUGGUUUGACGAAAUAAAAACUGUCUUCAAGUUGAGAAUUUGAAUUUUAUGUUUAAGUUAAAAAGCUUAAAUAAUGUUUAGGGACGAGAAGACCCUAUAGAUCUUUAUAUGAAGUUAAUUUAUUUUUUAUUGGGGGAUAUAAAAAUAAGUUAAUUAGUAUUUUGUUGGGGUGACAUGGGAAUAGAAAAACUUCUCAAUUGUUUUAACUUUGAUUUAAGGUUAAAGGAUCCUUUUUUAGGGAAGGAAGAUUAAGAUACCUUAGGGAUAACAGCGUUAUUUUAUUAGCAAGUUCAUAUUAAUAAUAAAGUUUGCGACCUCGAUGUUGGAUUAAGAUUAUAGGUUGGUGUAGAGAUUAGUCAAUUAAGUCUGUUCGACUUUUAAAAUCUUACAUGAUCUGAGUUCAGACCGGUGUGAGCCAGGUUGGUUUCUAUCUUAAAUAAGAAAUAAUAUUAUAGUACGAAAGGACCUAGUAUUAAAAAGAUUUUUUAGAUUGGGAAUAAA